GGAAAACUGCAGUCGAGAUUGGCAGCAGCAGGGAAUAUUGUGCAAUGAACGAAAGUUUGACACAGCGACACCGCGUGUGGGAUGACGGAUCUAGGUUUGUAAACCACUUUCAGGAGGGAAGAAAAUGACGGUACCUCCACAAGAAGCCCCGGCCAACUACGUGCCAGCAGCCGCGGUAAUACGUAGGGGGCGAGCGUUGUCCGGAUUUAUUGGGCGUAAAGAGCUCGUAGGCGGUUCAACAAGUCGGUCGUGAAAGUUCAGGGCUCAACCCUGAAAUGUCGAUCGAUACUGUUGUGACUAGGAUACGGUAGAGGUGAGUGGAAUUCCGAGUGUAGCGGUGAAAUGCGUAGAUAUUCGGAGGAACACCAAUUGCGAAGGCAGCUCACUGGACCGCUAUCGACGCUGAGGAGCGAAAGCUAGGGGAGCAAACAGGAUUAGAUACCCUGGUAGUCCUAGCUGUAAACGAUGGAUACUAGACGUAGGAACUGGAUUGACGGUUUCUGUGUCGUAGCUAACGCGUUAAGUAUCCCGCCUGGGGAGUACGGUCGCAAGACUAAAACUCAAAUGAAUUGACGG
rnacentral:rRNA from 1 species